UGUCUGCUCUGCUUUAGCAGCACGUAAAUACUGGAGUUUAGAUGCUCUGCCCUCCAGUAUUGCUUUGCUGCUUUAGUCAAGCUGGCACAUGC
rnacentral:pre_miRNA from 1 species